AAAACAUUGAAGUAAUAGCUGACAAUGGUUUCACUGGUCUUAUGCGGUAGUAACUUUAAUGCUUGCUUCAGAAAUUUCUUUCCAUUUAGUUGUAGUUUCCUUUUGACCAGUGACUCGAAGGUCGCUUCUUCCUUUGAUGACCAUGCCUUAGAAACUUGCUCCCCCAUUUCAUCAAAUUUCCAACUGAAGAAAGCAGGACCAAGG
rnacentral:misc_RNA from 1 species